rnacentral:rRNA from 1 species
AGUGGGGAAUAUUGCACAAUGGGCGCAAGCCUGAUGCAGCCAUGCCGCGUGUAUGAAGAAGGCCUUCGGGUUGUAAAGUACUUUCAGCGGGGAGGAAGGUGUUGUGGUUAAUAACCACAGCAAUUGACGUUACCCGCAGAAGAAGCACCGGCUAACUCCGUGCCAGCAGCCGCGGUAAUACGGAGGGUGCAAGCGUUAAUCGGAAUUACUGGGCGUAAAGCGCACGCAGGCGGUCUGUCAAGUCGGAUGUGAAAUCCCCGGGCUCAACCUGGGAACUGCAUUCGAAACUGGCAGGCUGGAGUCUUGUAGAGGGGGGUAGAAUUCCAGGUGUAGCGGUGAAAUGCGUAGAGAUCUGGAGGAAUACCGGUGGCGAAGGCGGCCCCCUGGACAAAGACUGACGCUCAGGUGCGAAAGCGUGGGGAGCAAA